rnacentral:rRNA from 1 species
UACGGGGGGGGGCAAGCGUUGUUCGGAAUUACUGGGCGUAAAGGGCUCGUAGGCGGCCAACUAAGUCGGAUGUGAAAUCCCCAGGCUUAACCUGGGAACUGCAUCCGAUACUGGAUGGCUUGAAUCCGGGAGAGGGAUACAGAAUUCCAGGUGUAGCGGUGAAAUGCGUAGAUAUCUGGAGGAAUACCGGUGGCGAAGGCGGCAUCCUGGACCGGCAUUGACGCUGAGGAGCGAAAAGCUAGGGGAGCAAACGGGG